GACCAGAAAAAUAAGUGAAAAAU
rnacentral:rRNA from 1 species